GGUGCGAGCGUUGUCCGGAAUUAUUGGGCGUAAAGGGCUUGUAGGCGGUUUGUCGCGUCUGCUGUGAAAAUCCGAGGCUCAACCUCGGACUUGCAGUGGGUACGGGCAGACUAGAGUGUGGUAGGGGAGACUGGAAUUCCUGGUGUAGCGAUGAAAUGCGCAGAUAUCAGGAGGAACACCGAUGGCGAAGGCAGGUCUCUGGGCCACUACUGACGCUGAGAAGCGAAAGCAUGGGGAGCGAACAGGAUUAGAUACCCUGGUAGUCCAUGCCGUAAACGUUGGGCGCUAGGUGUGGGACUCAUUCCACGAGUUC
rnacentral:rRNA from 1 species